UACGAGGGGGGCGAGCGUUGUUCGGAAUUAUUGGGCGUAAAGGGUGCGUAGGCGGUUUGGUAAGUCUUAUGUGAAAUCUACAGGCUCAACUUGUAGUCUGCAUGAGAAACUGCCGGGCUUGAGUAUGGGAGAGGUGAGUGGAAUUCCUGGUGUAGCGGUGGAAUGCGCAGAUAUCAGGAGGAACACCAAUAGCGAAGGCAGCUCGCUGGGACGGUACUGACGCUAAGGCGCGAAAGCGUGGGGAGCGAACAGG
rnacentral:rRNA from 1 species